GACGAACGCUGGCGGCGUGCUUAACACAUGCAAGUCGAACGGUAAGGCCCUUCGGGGUACACGAGUGGCGAACGGGUGAGUAACACGUGGGUAAUCUGCCCUGCACAUCGGGAUAAGCCUGGGAAACUGGGUCUAAUACCGAAUAGGACCACAGGACACAUGUCCUGUGGUGGAAAGCUUUUGCGGUGUGGGAUGGGCCCGCGGCCUAUCAGCUUGUUGGUGGGUGAUGGCCUACCAAGGCGACGACGGUAGCCGGCCUGAGAGGGUGUCCGGCCACACUGGGACUGAGAUACGGCCCAGACUCCUACGGGAGGCAGCAGUGGGGAAUAUUGCACAAUGGGCGAAAGCCUGAUGCAGCGACGCCGCGUGGGGGAUGACGGCCUUCGGGUUGUAAACCGUCUUUCACCAUCGACGAAGGUCCGGGUUUUCUCGGGCUGACGGUAGGUGGAGAGAAGCACCGGCCAACUACGUGCCAGCCGCCGCGGUAA
rnacentral:rRNA from 1 species